rnacentral:rRNA from 1 species
UUGAACGCUGGCGGCAGGCCUAACACAUGCAAGUCGAGCGGUUGAGAGUAGCUUGCUACUUGAUGCAGCGGCGGACGGGUGAGUAACGCGUGGGAAUCUGCCCCGUAGUGGGGGACAACAGCCGGAAACGGCUGCUAAUACCGCAUACGCCCUAAGGGGGAAAGGGGGGGAUCUUCGGACCUCUCGCUAUUGGAUGAGCGCGAGUCGGAUUAGCCAGUUGGUAGGGUAAAGGCCCACCAAGGCUACGAUCCGUAACUGGUCUGAGAGGAUGAUCAGUCACACUGGAACUGAGACACGGUCCAGACUCCUACGGGAGGCAGCAGUGGGGAAUAUUGGACAAUGGGGGAAACCCUGAUCCAGCCAUGCCGCGUGUGUGAAGAAGGCCUUAGGGUUGUAAAGCACUUUCAGUGGGGAGAAAGGUUUGUCACCUAAUACGUGAUGAAAUUGAUGUUACCCACAGAAGAAGCACCGGCUAACUCCGUGCCAGCCGCCGCCGUAACAC